rnacentral:rRNA from 1 species
GACGAACGCUGGCGGCGUGCUUAACACAUGCAAGUCGAGCGAGGCCCCUCCUUCGGGAGGGUGUCCUAGCGGCGAACGGGUGAGUAACACGUGGGCAACCUGCCCUCAGCUCUGGGAUAACUCCGGGAAACCGGGGCUAAUACCGGAUACGACCUCCACGGGCAUCUGCGGAGGUGGAAAGUUUUUCGGCUGAGGAUGGGCCCGCGGCCUAUCAGCUAGUUGGUGGGGUAGUGGCCCACCAAGGCGACGACGGGUAGCCGGCCUGAGAGGGCGACCGGCCACACUGGGACUGAGACACGGCCCAGACUCCUACGGGAGGCAGCAGUGGAGAAUAUUGCGCAAUGGGCGAAAGCCUGACGCAGCGACGCCGCGUGAGGGACGAAGGCCUUCGGGUUGUAAACCUCUUUCAGCAGGGACGAAGCGAAAGUGACGGUACCUGCAGAAGAAGCACCGGCCAACUACGUG